rnacentral:rRNA from 1 species
ACGAACGCUGGCGGCGUGCCUAAUACAUGCAAGUCGAACGCUUCUUUCCUCCCGAGUGCUUGCACUCACUUGGAAAGAGGAGUGGCGGACGGGUGAGUAACACGUGGGUAACCUACCCAUCAGAGGGGGAUAACACUUGGAAACAGGUGCUAAUACCGCAUAACAGUUUAUGCCGCAUGGCAUAAGAGUGAAAGGCGCUUUCGGGUGUCGUUGAUGGAUGGACCCGCGGUGCAUUAGCUAGUUGGUGAGGUAACGGCUCACCAAGGCCACGAUGCAUAGCCGACCUGAGAGGGUGAUCGGCCACACUGGGACUGAGACACGGCCCAGACUCCUACGGGAGGCAGCAGUAGGGAAUCUUCGGCAAUGGACGAAAGUCUGACCGAGCAACGCCGCGUGAGUGAAGAAGGUUUUCGGAUCGUAAAACUCUGUUGUUAGAGAAGAACAAGGACGUUAGUAACUGAACGUCCCCUGACGGUAUCUAACCAGAAAGCCACGGCUAACUACGUG